rnacentral:rRNA from 1 species
CCCGUAGGAUGGGCGAAGCUGUCCAGCCAUGCCGCGUGUGGAAGAAGGCUUCGGUUGAAAGCACUUUAAGUUGGGAGGAAGGGCAGUAAGCUAAUACCUUGCUGUUUUGACGUUACCGACAGAAUAAGCACCGGCUAACUCUGUGCCAGCAGCCGCGGUAAU